UCCAAUUUUCUGCCACCGAAUACAUUAGCAUGGGAUAAUGGAAUAGGACCCUGUCCUCCUAUUUUCAGUUGGUUUUGGCAGCGCGAGGACUAGGGUAAUGAUUAAUAGGGAUAGUUGGGGGCAUUAAUAUUUAAUUGUCAGAGGUGAAAUUCUUGGAUUUAUGAAAGAUUAACUUCUGCGAAAGCAUCUGCCAAGGAUGUUUUCAUUAAUCAAGAACGAAAGUUAGGGGAUCGAAGACGAUCAGAUACCGUCGUAGUCUUAACCAUAAACGAUGCCGACCAGCGAUUAGGAGACGUUGAAUACAAAACACCACCAUCGGUGCGGUCGUCCUUGGCGUCUCG
rnacentral:rRNA from 1 species